AACAACUGCGCAAGAUUUUAACUUUCUCCACUUGCCUUCGUUUCAGUCAGGGGCUGCUCUCAACAACCUGCCAAUAGGCAGAGCUGGGGUUUAUUAUUUAGUUGUUUGUGUAUGAAACCCUUGGCUCCCCAGGUAUUCACAGGUUCCCCCACAGCUGCAGAGAGAAUCACAUUAGUCAAGAGUAUUGCUUUUCCAAAGGCCCUUCCUGUGACAACCCCCUUUGGUGGAUAAGGAAGCACUGGGGAUGUGGUGUCUGUAAAGAGUUCUGUGGAGACUUUCCUCCCAGUCAUGGGCAAAUUCUGUAGGCAGGGGUAAAGAGGAUCUGUAGGUGAUACAGCGUUUAGCAGUACAUAUCACUAAGUGCUGCUAAAGAAAAUGGGCUUUGGUGAACGUCGGUUUCCAGGCAUUCCUAAAGGGCUUCAGAUGGGAUACAGCAAAGCUGAUCUAUGCCUGCUACUGCAACAGGUCUACACGUGAUUUUUCAGCAAGCUAAAUUGCUAAAUUUAAGGAAAAGAAUCCCAGGAGAGUCGGAAGCAUACACAAGACCUAAUAAUCGCUAUAAUGAGUGUCUUCUUGAUAAUCUCCCUCCUACUCAUUCCGGGCUGCAGUUUCCUUUCUUACAAACUGAUGACAAAGGACAACACGACUUUGAAGAAAGAAGUGAAAUCUAUCACCAUCCAGUCUCACUUGCAUCAUGUUGAAACGAGGAUUGUCCUAUCUCCUUCCCAGCCUAUGCAAUUAGCUGCCCCCCAACAGAGGAGCUCCCAAGGAACCUCCCUCAUACAAACAUCACCGAUUUAUAAACAGCCUGGCGAUGUGCCACCGCUACGACCAGCCUCCAAUGUAUCUGCUGUCAGUUUUGCAUACACUGACCCUAGCACUGUUUUCUCAGCACCCAUACAAACAUCACCGAUUUAUAAACAGCCUGGCGAUGUGCCACCGCUACGACCAGCCUCCAAUGUAUCUGCUGUCAGUUUUGCAUACACUGACCCUAGCACUGUUUUCUCAGCACCCAGGAACCGUACUCCGGAAAGUUUUCUUUCUAACCUCUCAAAGUCAGGAAGCCUUUUUUCUAUGGAACAACAUGAUCUCUUUUAUGGGUCUUCCAGGAGUUCUUCCAGAGGGUCCAUGGACAACCCUGGAUACAAAUAUGAAGAUGGAGAAGGAAGCGGUGAUUCUGGGAGCAGCAUUUGUCCCAUUCAUGUGACAGACGAUCUACCUUUCACCAGACAUUAAUUAUAUUUAGGGUGACCAGAUCACUGACAGGAAAUAUCGAGACCGGGGGGGAGCAAAAAAAAACAAAAAACAAACAAACAAAAAAAGUAAAAAAAAAAAAAAAAAAAAAAAGCCGUUUUGCAGGUGCCGGGGGAAUUAGCAGGCCGCGGCCCCGCCCCCCCUGAGGGCCCCGGGCACAUGCGACACGU
rnacentral:lncRNA from 1 species